UUGGACCUGAUAUCAGACAGACUACCCGCUGAACUUAAGCAUAUUAAU
rnacentral:rRNA from 1 species